rnacentral:tRNA from 1 species
GGCUCCGUGGCUUAAUGGUUACGGCUUCUGCCUCACAAGCAGAAGGUUCAGGGAUCAAAUUCCGGUCGGUACCU